UAUGUUGUGUUGUGUUGCCCCUGAAUUU
rnacentral:piRNA from 1 species